AGUGGGGAAUAUUGGACAAUGGGCGAAAGCCUGAUCCAGCAACGCCGCGUGAGGGAUGACGGCCUUCGGGUUGUAAACCUCUUUCAGUAGGGACGAAGCGAAAGUGACGGUACCUACAGAAGAAGGACCGGCCAACUACGUGCCAGCAGCCGCGGUAAUACGUAGGGUCCGAGCGUUGUCCGGAAUUAUUGGGCGUAAAGGGCUCGUAGGCGGUUUGUCGCGUCGGGAGUGAAAACUCAGGGCUCAACCCUGAGCGUGCUUCCGAUACGGGCAGACUAGAGGUAUGCAGGGGAGAACGGAAUUCCUGGUGUAGCGGUGGAAUGCGCAGAUAUCAGGAGGAACACCGGUGGCGAAGGCGGUUCUCUGGGCAUUACCUGACGCUGAGGAGCGAAAGCAUGGGGAGCGAACAGGAUUAGAUACCCUGGUAGUCCAUGCCGUAAACGUUGGGCGCUAGGUGUGGGGACCUUCCACGGUCUCCGUGCCGCAGCUAACGCAUUAAGCGCCCCGCCUGGGGAGUACGGCCGCAAGGCUAAAACUCAAAGGAAUUGACGGGGGCCCGCACAAGCGGCGGAGCAUGCUGAUUAAUUCGAUGCAACGCGAAGAACCUUACCUGGGUUUGACAUAUACCGGAAAGCUGCAGAGAUGUAGCCCCCCUUGUGGUCGGUAUACAGGUGGUGCAUGGCUGUCGUCAGCUCGUGUCGUGAGAUGUUGGGUUAAGUCCCGCAACGAGCGCAACCCUCGUCCUAUGUUGCCAGCACGUAAUGGUGGGGACUCAUAGGAGACUGCCGGGGUCAACUCGGAGGAAGGUGGGGAUGACGUCAAGUCUUCAUGCCCCUUAUGUCCAGGGCUUCAAGCAUGCUACAAUGGCCGGUACAAAGGGCUGCGAUACCGCAAGGUGGAGCGGAUCCCAAAAAGCCGGUCUCAGUUCGGAUUGGGGUCUGCAACUCGACCCCAUGAAGUCGGAGUCGCUAGUAAUCGCAGAUCAGCAACGCUGCGGUGAAUACGUUCCCGG
rnacentral:rRNA from 1 species